AAAUCGUGCGCCGCCGCCCUCCAUCCUUCGCCACCGCCGAUCCAUCCCUUCGCCGCCGCCGCGCUCCAUCCCUUCGCCGCCGCCCUCGCACAUCGAAGCCGCCGCCCACGAUCCACUUCAGGAGACGCCGUCGAUCCCGUUGAGGACCUGCUGCCCAUCAUGUCGAGGAUCCGAAGACGAUCCCCUUUAGGAGCCUUGCCGAUCCUUCUCCACACGCCACCGCCUCCCUUGCGAAGACGCCUUGCCAUGGAUCUCAAUCGGCGUUACGACGGCCGUGGCCUCCCCACCCGCCGACGUUCCAGAUCCGGCCAUCGUUGACCCCCUCCACAUCAGUGAUUGGUCAAGGUAGGGGUGUGUGGCUCUAUCCAUCUUCCUGCGUGUACGGCGUCUGUGUAUCCCGGCAAGGGUGCUUGUGAGAUCGGGAGGCGAUCAAAAGGAGGAAGAGGAGAUCCAUGGUUGGGGAUACAUUCAACGACCUAGGCAUCAUCCUCCCUGACGUCGUAUACUCGAAGCCCGCAGCCAUUGCCUUCUCAAUCUACGUUAGUCAGCAGCAGCAAGCAGAGAAUUAACAACAGUAGACCAAAGCAAAGGGGGGUCAGCCUGAAUGGGACGUAUCCCCUUCCAGAGGACUCGCCCUAGCUAGCCUGCAUGGUACCUUUCAUUAGCACUUCUCCCAGUAAGUUUGCAAAUUUUGGAUCCACCACUUUUGAAUCAUGCUUGGUGUGUGCUGACGGUGCACGAGGAACGUGACGGUUUUUCUCUGAAUCAUGCCAUAGUUCUCUCAAUAUUGUACGUGUUGUUCUCUCAGCAUUGUACGUGUUGUUCUCUGCAUGAUGUGUGGUGGAUGGGGAUGCGGAGGCGACGACUGGCGGCUGUUCUAUUUACACCUGACAUGGGGUUGAGAGGCUAGGGAGCAGGCGAUUUUGCACUCGUAUUUGGUCGGCAAUGGAGAUGAAUUUGUGAGAGAUGUGGCUGGGAGUUGCACCGGUCAUUUUUCUGCCCUCUCUAUGUUAUCCCUUUGCACUAAUCGGUAAUUGCUUUUUGACCAGGGGAUAGGGUAGCGUACACGAACAGCAAAAUUGUAGAAGACGAGGAGGACAAUCUGAGUGACCAACAUUAUGUGGAGUAUUGAGAUGCAGAUCCAUCUUCACCGACAGCACGCGCUUGUCUGUGACCUCCCACCAGCAGCGCCUUGAGGUCACCCACACAAGCGACCAAGCAAUUCCACGCUGUCACCCUCUGCUACUUCGCCAACGACAUCGAGGAGGUCGUGGGUGAGAGCUACUGUCCUCCCUGGAGAACAUGCUCGUGCCCCAUGCGUACGAAGAAGAGCUAAGACACUCGCAUGGGUGCUCAAGGAAAUAAACCAGAUUGAGCGAGAGUGUUAUGCAAUUUAUCAACAAGAGCAAAGACUCUAAUCUGAUGAUGUAGGACAGCUUUAAUGUGACAGAGGAUCAUGGUGGUCGAUGGAUUGUGCACCCGGUAGUAGACUAAGAAAGGAACAUUAUUUAUGGAACACAAUGAUAUUCAGAGCAGCCCUGCACUAUGUGAGAUUUAGAAGUUGGUACUGCCGGCGGAUGCAUCCAUGUGCUAAUCUCCUGGCACCGCGUAGACGGAGCCAAACGAGUUGGGGCCUCCAGCCGGCUGGUAGUGGACAACAACACCGGGUUUGUUAAUUACUCAACAAGUCACAGAUUGAUCUCUUUUUUGAUUGGUUUGGUGUGGAUUAUCAGGCCUGCCGCGCAAUCAUAGAUUUAUCUUUUGAUUUAUGUGGGUGGACAGAAACACCUUUUCUAAAGUUUUCUAGGGAUUGUAAUGAAGCACAGUAACACACUCCAGCAUUCAUUCUUUGCUUGAUAUUAGCAAACAAUGUAAAAUAACCAAGCUCACAACAUUCUAAAGCGGUCUAUUAGCUACUUCA